rnacentral:rRNA from 1 species
ACAGGGAUUGCCCUAGUAACGGCAGUGAAGCGGCAACAGCUCAAUUUGAAAUCUGGCUCUUUUAGAGUCCGAGUUGUAAUUUGCAGAGGGCGCUUUGGCUUUGGCAGCGGUCCAAGUUCCUUGGAACAGGACGUCACAGAGGGUGAGAAUCCCGUACGUGGUCGCUGGCUAUUGCCGUGUAAAGCCCCUUCGACGAGUCGAGUUGUUUGGGAAUGCAGCUCUAAAUGGGAGGUACAUUUCUUCUAAAGCUAAAUAUUGGCCAGAGACCGAUAGCGCACAAGUAGAGUGAUCGAAAGAUGAAAAGCACUUUGGAAAGAGAGUCAAACAGCACGUGAAAUUGUUGAAAGGGAAGCGCUUGCAGCCAGACUUGCUUACAGUUGCUCAUCCGGGUUUCUACCCGGUGCACUCUUCUGUAGGCAGGCCAGCAUCAGUUUGGGCGGUAGGAUAAAGGUCUCUGUCACGUACCUCCUUUCGGGGAGGCCUUAUAGGGGAGACGACAUACUACCAGCCUGGACUGAGGUCCGCGCAUCUGCUAGGAUGCUGGCGUAAUGGCUGUAAGCGGCCCGUCUUGAAACACGGACCAAGGAGUCUAACAUCUAUGCGAGUGUUUGGGUGUCAAGCCCGAGCGCGUAAUGAAAGUGAACGGAGGUGGGAACCCGCAAGGGUGCACCAUCGACCGAUCCUGAUGUCUUCGGAAGGAUUUGAGUAAGAGCAUGGCUGUUGGGACCCGAAAGAUGGUGAACUAUGCUUGAAUAGGGUGAAGCCAGAGGAAACUCUGGUGGAGGCUCGCAGCGGUUCUGACGUGCAAAUCGAUCGUCAAAUUUGGGCAUAGGGGCGAAAGACUAAU